AGCGAACGUUAGCGGCGGGCCUAACACAUGCCACUUUAACGAGAAUGUAGGCUUCGGUCUACUAGUAAAGUGGCAGACGGGUGCGUAACACGUGGGUAAUCUACCUUCCGGCGGGGGACAACAGUCCGAAAGGAUUGCUAAUACCGCAUACGUCAGCGGCGCCUACGGGCGCUGUUGGGAAAGAUGGCCUCUCCUUGGAAGCUGUCACCGGAAGAUGAGCCCGCGCCCCAUCAGCUAGUUGGUGAGGUAAUGGCUCACCAAGGCUAAGACGGGUAGCUGGUCUGAGAGGAUGAUCAGCCACACUGGGACUGCGACACGGCCCAGACUCCUACGGGAGGCAGCAGUGGGGAAUAUUGGGCAAUGGGCGAAAGCCUGACCCAGCCACGCCGCGUGAGUGAUGAAGGCCUUCGGGUCGUAAAGCUCUGUGGGGAGGGACGAACAAACUCUGGGCUAAUCACCAUGGUCCUGACGGUACCUCCUUAGCAAGCACCGGCUAACCCUGUGCCAGCAGCCGCGGUAAUACAGGGGGUGCAAACGUUUGCUCGGAAUCAUUGGGCGUAAAGCGCAC
rnacentral:rRNA from 1 species